UUAAUUGAAACCAAAUAGAGGUAUACCACUGUUAAUGGUAUCAUUGGGGUAACCCCGGUUAAA
rnacentral:tRNA from 1 species